UUGAGCCGUAUGAGCGGGAAACUCUCACGUACGGUUCUUAGACGAGGAAGAGGGAGUAAUCCCUUUUCUUUAGUCGAGU
rfam:Alkaliphilus metalliredigens QYMF, complete genome.